UAUUAGGUUGGUGCAACAGUAAUUGUGGCUUUUGCCAUUAAAAGUGAUGACAAAAACCACAAUUACUGUUGCACCAACGUAAUA
rfam:Pan troglodytes isolate Yerkes chimp pedigree #C0471 (Clint) chromosome 7, whole genome shotgun sequence.